rnacentral:ribozyme from 1 species
UGCCCAGUAACUCCUAUCCCUACCUCUUCGUGGUACUGGCCGGGGUACGAGUAACCUUAGGGAAGAUCUGGUAACCAACCCCAGUGGGAACUUUGGUCGUAUGCUGACAGGGAAGG